CUUCAGGGAGCCGAGCCACAGGGGCUUGUCCGCGUCGCGGUCCUGCCCGUAGGUGGCCAGCAGGGCCUGGGCCUC
rfam:Actinobacteria bacterium OV450 ctg107, whole genome shotgun sequence.